UUAUACAGCGAAACUGCGAAUGGCUCAUUAUAUAAGUUAUCGUUUAUUUGAUAGUACCUUACUACUUGGAUAACCGUGGUAAUUCUAGAGCUAAUACAUGCUAAAAAUCCCGACUUACGAAGGGAUGUAUUUAUUAGAUUAAAAACCAAUGCCCUUCGGGGCUCACUGGUGAUUCAUAAUAACUUCUCGAAUCGCAUGGCCUUGCGCCGGCGAUGGUUCAUUCAAAUUUCUUCCCUAUCAACUUUCGAUGCUAGAGUAGUGUUCUAGCAUGGUUACAACGGGUAACGGAGGGUUAGGGCUCGACCCCGGAGAAGGAGCCUGAGAAACGGCUACUACAUCCAAGGAAGGCAGCAGGCGCGCAAAUUACCCAAUCCCGACACGGGGAGGUAGUGACGAUAAAUACUGAUACAGGGCUCUUUUGGGUCUUGUAAUUGGAAUGAGUACAAUUUAAAUCCCUUAACGAGGAACAAUUGGAGGGCAAGUCUGGUGCCAGCAGCCGCGGUAAUUCCAGCUCCAAUAGCGUAUAUUAAAGUUGUUGUGGUUAAAAAGCUCGUAGUAGAACCUUGGGCCUGGCUGGCCGGUCCGCCUCACCGCGUGCACUGGUCCGGCCGGGCCUUUCCCCCUGUGGAACCUCAUGCCCUUCACUGGGUGUGUGGGAAAACAGGACUUUUACUUUGAAAAAAUUAGAGUGCUCCAGGCAGGCCUAUGCUCGAAUACAUUAGCAUGGAAUAAUAGAAUAGGACGUGUGGUUCUAUUUUGUUGGUUUCUAGGACCGCCGUAAUGAUUAAUAGGGACAGUCGGGGGCAUCAGUAUUCAAUUGUCAGAGGUGAAAUUCUUGGAUUUAUUGAAGACUAACUACUGCGAAAGCAUUUGCCAAGGAUGUUUUCAUUUAUCAGGAACGAAAGUUAGGGGAUCGAAGACGAUCAGAUACCGUCGUAGUCUUAACCAUAAACUAUGCCGACUAGGGAUCGGACGAUGUUAUUUUUUGACUCGUUCGGCACCUUACGAGAAAUCAA
rnacentral:rRNA from 1 species